rnacentral:rRNA from 1 species
CGCAAGCCUGACGGAGCAAGACCGCGUGCGGGAUGACGGCCUAAUGGUUGUAAACCGCUUUUCUCUGGGAAGAUGAUGACGGUACCAGAGGAAUCAGCCUCGGCUAACUCCGUGCCAGCAGCCGCGGUAAUACGGAGGAGGCAAGCGUUAUCCGGAAUUAUUGGGCGUAAAGCGUCCGUAGGUGGUUAUUCAAGUCUGCUGUCAAAGCGUGGGGCUUAACUCCAUAGAGGCAGUGGAAACAGGAUGACUUGAGUGCGGUAGGGGUCGAGGGAAUUCCCAGUGUAGCGGUGAAAUGCGUAGAUAUUGGGAAGAACACCAGUGGCGAAAGCGCUCGACUGGGCCUGCACUGACACUGAGGGACGAAAGCUAGGGGAGCG